rnacentral:sRNA from 1 species
UUCUGAAAUGGCAGAGUAUGGAGGGAU